UCGCACAUGCUGCGACUGCUGAGCGCUUCGACCGUGUCUUUUAGAUGGAUUAUGGAUGACAAAAAAUAACAAAACACGUCAACAGUGGAUCUCCUUAGUCACUAAUACAAGGACUAACGGCCGAAGAAGAGAAAGAGAAAGGAUGUUUAUGAGGUUGAGCGGCUCAUUUCGAAACGGGAAGGAAUUGAGGAUACAGAGUAUUUGGUUUAGUGGAGUGGCUACUCCAAAUAUGAAUCCAAGUGGGAGUUGUCUGAUAACAUUUCCGAGGAUUGUAUUUGGUUGUUUGAAAACCCACAGCCAGGAAAGAAUGAAGUAGUUCAGGCAGUAGACAGCUUCAGAAUAGCAGUAGAAGG